rnacentral:lncRNA from 1 species
UUUUAGUAUGAGAGUAAUGCUUGUCUUACAGAACGAGGUUGAAAGUAUUUCCUCCUCCUCUGUUUUGAAAUAGUUUAAGUGGGAUUGCUAUUAGUUUUAUACCAAAGUGGUGGAAUUAAAGGCAUGAGCCACCACACCUGGCCAGAGCUGUAUUAUUCUAAGCUGUGGGCUGAAUUAGUUGGAUACAAUAGUGAUGACUGUAUUCAGAGCAAAUAAGAAAGUAAUUGCAGAAUUAUUCAAUAAUUUUUUUUUUUUUUUUUUUUGAGACAGAGUCUCACUUGUCGCCCUGGCUAGAGUGCAGUGGCACGAUCUCGGCUCACUGUAAGCUCCGCCUCCUGGGUUCACGCCAUUCUCCUGCCUCAGCCUCCCGAGUAGCUGGGACUACAGGCGCCCGCCACCACGCCCGGCUAAUUUUUUGUUUUUUUAGUAGAGACGGAGUAUUGCCAUGUUAGCCAUGAUGGUCUCGAUCUCCUGACCUCGUGAUCCACCCGCCUCGGCCUCCCAAAGUGCUGGGAUUACAGGCGUCAGCCACCGCACCCGGCCCUCAAAGUUUUAUGGAAGGUUCUCAUACAGAGAUAAUCAUGAUUAAGAUAUGGAGAAUUAUCAAACUUUUUUUACAACUUUUUCUUUUGGUGAUUAUUUUCCUUUAACAUAAAAUUUGCUUUAGUUCAACUAUACAAACAUAUGAGUUAUUGUUACAUAAUUAUACUCUUUAUUAAGAAAUGUUUUGUAAAAAGUGAGCCAAUUUUUUCUUGCUUAAUCCUGUCAUAUAAAUUCUUCAAAAUACAGUCUCAACAUUAUUUUAUACAUCAAAUUAUAUAUACAUACAUGCACACAUACACU